rnacentral:lncRNA from 1 species
UGUAUUUUGAUAAGGAUUUUUAGGUAGCCAUAGACUGCAUUUCGCUGCUGCUAUUCUGUAUUGUUAGAUUUGGUGUCUGUUUUGCUGCUGCUACAAUGACAACAAACAGCUGUUUUGUUAACUCAUUUUGUGACUUUAUGCAACAAAUGCAUAUAUGAUGUUUUGGUGAUCUAUGAGUUGUACAAGUUGAUAGUAUGUGUGUUUGCCAGGAAAUGAAAUACUUUGGUUGGUGACAAGGAAACUUAGUACUGUUGUGUGUCUAUUGUUGAUUGCCAAUUUCUGAAGUUUAUGUAGUAUGAAGUUUACUUCCCAAUAUAAAAACAGCGCUUCUUUAGAAACAAUAAUUGAUAAGUAACAACAACAUAUACAUAUUGAGAUGAGAAUACUACAAAAUAUUGAAAUGACAAAACUACAAAAGGCUUACAUUCAAAUCAAAGGUCCAUUGUAAACAUACAAAAUAAAACCUACAAGCAACAUCUACAUUCAUAUUGAGAUGACAAAACUAGAUUCACAAUGGCAACCUCAUUGCAUCUUCUUUCAAUGAGAUUCCUGGAUACCCACAAGCAACAAGAAUAAUACAUAUCCCCAAUAUAAUGAACCAAAGUACAUUUUCCCUAGCCUUUGACUUAGAUAAUUUACUCUUCCACUUCUUUUCCUUCUCUUUCAUCUUCUCCAUAUUGUCACACCCCUUUUUACAAACUUCACUAACCCUCUUAAAUUAAUAAAAAGAUUUAGUAAAACUUGAAAAAGGUUUUCAAUCCGAAAAGUGACAAAAUUAUGUGUUCAAAAGGAUUAACUCAGAGUCGCCACCUGACAUUUGAUUUCAGUGUGUCAGGUCACCGUUUUUUCUAAAAAUAAUUUUUUUCCUUUCAAAACACUAUAGACUCUAAAAACUAAGUCUACACCAAAGAUUCGGGUAAGGGGGUUCAUUUGACUCGGGGAGAAGGUGUUAGGCACUCCCCAAGUCCCGUGAAAAUUACGGUUGCGUACUCGAUCUAGUUGGCUUUUAAAAUAUUAAAGUUGAGGUAAAACUAAACACAGAAAAGAAAAACAAACACACAAGAGUCUCAAGGUCGUCCCCAGCUAAUAUAAGAAAAAUGAAAAAUGAAAAUAAAAAUAAAAAUAUUAAGAGUUCUACUUUCCGCCUCCAAAUACAAAUACUUCGGGGCAUACCCCGGAUAAAAAUAUAAACAAAUCCUACAAGGCAUUCCCCGAAUAAUAAACUAAAAAAACGACCUCUCGCCUCAAAUAGAAAUGAGAUAAAACCUAAGGUUUGUCUACCCAAGUGAUGACGGGCUAAGCAUGCUUCUAACGAAAAACGAUAAAUAAAAGCAAUAAUAAAAUAUUCUAAAUCUAAAUUGUCAUUCACAUUUAAUCCCGAAUCCCUCUAUCAACUCUUGAAAUUCAUCAACCAUUUCCAAAUCCCUACGGCCUACUUAUUUCUUAAAAAAUGAUUUAAAUCCAAGUCUUACUUUUAAUUUGGAGUCUCAUCUAAGGUUGAAUUAGAUUUAAAAAACUAAAUCUCGUCUCUUCUUCCAAGCCAACAUGGGGUUACUGGCAGAAUAGUCAAACCAAAGGAACAAGAAUAAGAUAGCAAAUCAACUUUAACCCAUUCAAGACAUAGAGCAUCACAAAAUAACAUAAAUCAGGCAACAAAUCAAACCUUAAUUCAUCCCAAAGUAUAGAGUAAGAUAGAAAAGAGAAUAGACCUUUAAUGGGCUUUUUCCAAUAAUAGAAUCUCCCAGAAUCUGGCGACGAGAACUCGACCGGAGCAGUGAACAAUGAUAGAAAAUGGAACGGCGACCGGAAAACCUCUUGACCGCACCUCAAUCGGAUUCAAACCCAACUCCAACACUUAAAGAAAAAUUCAUUCUCAAGCUCCAAGCUCUGGAAUCGGAAAAUGAACAGAUUCUUUUCAACUCGAUUUUCUCUUCUUUUUUUUUAGCCAAAACCCGACAUUGAAAACAGAAACGAAAAAGCAAUUCGAAUCCAAUUUUCAACCCAGAAAAUAUCCUUUCUCGUUUCUUUGUGUUUAUAUGUGUGUUAAUGUUUACCGGCGAGCUCGUCACUGCCUUGGCGAGAGGAGGAGAACCUGGCGACUUCUGGUGGUCAAAGUUGACGGUUCUCCUGUAAUGGUGCUGCUUUGAAGAAGAAGAUAGCUUGAAAGUCUUUUUUUUUUGUUCGAAGGGC